CAAGCCGGGGAGGGGACAACUCCACGUUUAAACGGAGCUCUGGUUUCCGUUAUCACCUGGGGUUAGAUCUUCAUGCCCAACGCGGAGACCAUGGUGGCGACUAUGGUGGCGGGGAACUUUCUGUCACCUGGGAGGGAGCAGGACGGGAUGAUGGGAGCUCGCCGCAGGGGAUACGGGGCAGCCGGGGUCAGAAGCCGCCGCUGUUCCGUUGCUCCCGGGAGCGGUGAUCGCGGACGCUGGGUACGCGGGGACCUGCUGUCACGUGACGCGCGUUCCUGGCUGACCCACGUGUGCUCAUUACGUCCUGUGCGCCCCGAGGGCGGGUCUGCCUGCACUGCUGCCUGUUUGUCCCCAGGGGCUGACACCUGGCAUAGAGCACAGGUGCCAGGACACCAGCAGAUGCCCAGUGAUACUGGCUGAAAAAAUGGCUGAGACACGUGACAGCCCAAAUGUCCUGCUGCCUGGGAGUUUAUUUCAUGGUGUCAGUUGGUUGGGUCGGCGGCCUGGGCCGUGGUGGGCGGAAGCUGCCUUCAGGCCAGCAUGUGGCCACGGAGGGCCAUGGGUGACCAACUUCCAUCCUGUAGGUGUCGAGCAACAAGGUGGAAGCCACUUUCGUCCUGGAGUGACUUUGUGGAGCAGAGACGCCGCUCAGCCUGGGAGCCUGCCUUUCUCUGGGCUGACACGAGACAGAGGAAGGAGCUUCUCUUGUUCAGGCCACAGGGUUUUAGGAACUUUGGGUCAUAGCAGCUUAGACGUCAUACUUUAACGUGCGUAUUUGCCCUUUGCUGCCUUUGAAAAUGGUUGUGUAGGAGGCCUGAAGCUGAAGUUGUACUCCAAUGAUCUGACUUCUUCUCCCCUGGACUGGACUAGUGGGAGACUACUUGAGCAAGACCCAGAAAACCCAGGUUCAGCCCUGAUGAUAAGUGACUGCAUGAUGUUGGACAGGACACAGCUCCUCUGAACAUCAAUUUCAUGAUGGGGAUUAAAUGAAUGGCUCUCAGACCAGCUCUGACAUUCUGUGAAUUAAGCACACUUGCUUCAGAUUUCAGUUUCCAUGGAAUUGGAGGAUUGAAACGGCAAUGAACCCUCCUUCAUAUCAUCCUAAGACCCCAAACUGAAUAGUCCUGUUGGGAGGGACCUAUCUGUGGCUCCUUCUCCAGGGGGCACAGGUGAAGAACACCUUGCAAGAGGGACUAUCUUUUUAACUAUCUCCUUCUGAUUUCAAACACAAUGGUUCUGCUAAGUUGCUUUUAUUUUUCCCCUGUGAAAAUGAUGUUGUGAGAAAAUGUAACCAGUACAAUUAUACUGAACUUUCAUAAGAUGAAAUGUUAAUAAAAUUGAUGUUUGGCCAAUAAAAUACUUGAUGCCAAAUUAAAUAGGCCUGAAGGGAAUUCUGCUUUGGAGCAAACACCAUGGGAAACAGGAUGAAAAGGAAAUUAAUAUUUUUGAGCAACUAUAUGAAUUUCUCCAGAAAUACAAGUAUAUAAGUUGCAACAUUUUUGACUUUCCCAGAGGGAGUAAAGCAUAGUGGCUAAAGAUGUGCUGAGGACAGAUUUCCGGAGUCCAGAUCCCAGCUUUGCUCGUUCUUGUCUGCCAGCCUUGGGCAAGUUAUGUUCCCUCUUGGUGCUUCAGGUUUCUGGUGUGUGCACUGGGGCUAAUAACAGUAUUUCCCCGUGACGUUGUUAGAAGGAUUCUAUGUAUAAGGCAGUUAGUAAUGCCUGGAGCCCAGAGGUGUUCAGUCUACAUUAGGGAUCAUCAUUAGAGAGUCAUGGGCUUGAAAUGAAAAGGUUCUGGAGAGAUUGCGUGUUCAGAGCCCUGCCGUGGGGCACGAGGCUUGGCUCCCUACUUUAUCCAGGAGACACUGGGGGCCUUGAACUGUUGAAGUACUUUCCCAAAGCCACACAGCA